AUUGCAUCUGUCCUCUGUGAGUCCAUUCCGACAGACACACUCGCAGGUGGACUCAUCCAGAACCCUGUUGGGCCCGCAGAGAGCCAGCAGACCUGAGUUCAGCGCCUCUGGAAGCCACAUGGAAGUAAAAAAAGGUGAUCUGUUGCGGCUCGUCUUAUGAUGGAGUGGAGUGGCCGCUUAGAGAGGCAUGCACACGAAGUGUGGUUGACGAAGGUUACCAUGACGACGGAGCGAUCCAUCCUGGGCGGGGACAGUUCCAUCAGCUGGCAGGAAGAAAGAUGAAGGGCAAAGCAGUUACUGACAACUGUAAAAUAAAUUAUGGGGAAGACAGACAAGAAAAGAAGGAGAGACAGGAGGCUGGCAACGACGAGGAGGGAGAAAAAGGUGUGUCUGGGAAACGCUCGAAUGAGAAAACAUCCGAUUUUUGGGCCAGUCACUGCCAGCCUUUUUGAGGAUUAAAGUCGCACACCCCCGCACACUCACACGCACGCACACGGUGGCAAGUGUCUGCUUGUAGUACGCUUUGUGUGUUGAAAUCCGUGCAACCAAAUUCCACAUUCCAGUCAUUGCUUUCUCCAUUUCAUCAUGUGAGCUCGGAACAUAGAAUUAGAGAUGAUAGAGGGGGGAAGUUUAUCCGUUUGUAAUGCCAGGCUUUAUCCUAUUCACUAGAAUUCUGUGGCAGCAACAAACCAAGAGGCUUGCUGAUGUUUUUGAGGGUCUAAUUGUUAUGUUUAAAAAGAGAAAGCAAAUCACCUGCCACUUGAAAAUGAACUCUGAAUAUGUAUGAGAUGGCAUUUACUUUAUCUGUCUAAGAGGAAAGGAUUAGUUAGUAUAUUCAGGAGGGUGAAGGGGAGAAUUUAAAUGUCUGAUAAAAUAUUUAUUGACCAUGAUCCUUCCCAGAGGCUGACAACAAACCAAACAACUAAAACCUAAGCAAAAAUCAAGUCAGGAGUCAGGAGUAAAAAAUAAUAGAAAAAAUAGGCAUAAUUUUGUGUAGAAAAAAUAAAUAUUUUCUUUCCUAUUCUGCUAAUCUUGCAUCCUCUUGGAUGGUCCUCACCCACAGGCCUACAGUUCCUUUAAAAUGAUUCUGUCACAGACUAAUAACCAAAUAAAACUGCCUCUAGGACUUUCUCUUGAAUUGUCUUAUUGCAAUGCAUAGGGUAUGCAGUGCCUCUUAGAGCUUUGUGACGAAGUACCAAAGUACAUGAUUUUCUUUAUAUAUAUAAAAACUUUGUCCGCGGGUGGUCUCAUCCUUCAAGCUUGGGUCCUCUGGGAGCUUGAGGGUUUUGCGCAGUAUCUUUGCUGUUCCUAGUACUGCUCUGGACCGAGA